rnacentral:rRNA from 1 species
GACGAACGCUGGCGGCGUGCUUAAUACAUGCAAGUCAACGAUUUUUAAGAUAGCAAUAUUUUAAAAUAGUGGCGCACGGGUGAGUAACACGUAGAUAAUCUGCCUUUAGGUCUGACAUAACUCGUCGAAAGACGGGCUAAUAUCAGAUAAAACAAUAACUUGGCAUCAAGUAAUUGUCAAAGCUUCGGCGCCCAAAGAUGAGUCUGCGGACCAUUAGGUAGUUGGUGGAUUAACAGCCCACCAAGCCAACGAUAGAUAGCUGGUCUGAGAGGAUGAUCAGCCACACUGGAACUGAGACACGGUCCAGACUCCUACGGGAGGCAGCAGUAAGGAAUAUUGCUCAAUGGGAGAAAUCCUGAAGCAGCAACGCCGCGUGAAAGGGAAGAAAGGGGUACUUUCGACUUGUAAACUUCUGUAGAAGAGG